CAUGUCUUUUUGAUUAUAAUUUAAAGUCUAACCUGCCCCAUGAAUAAGUUUUAAAUGGCCGCGGUAUUUUGACCGUGCAAAGGUAGCAUAAUAAUUAGUUUCUUAAUUAGGAACUGGUAUGAACGGUUGGACGAGAAAAAUACUGUCUCAAUUUAAUUUAAAUUAGAAUUUUAUUUUUGAGUUAAAAAGCUUAAAUAAUUUUAAAAGACGAGAAGACCCUAUAGAGUUUAAUAUAAAUAUAAAUAUUUAAAAAUUUUAGUAUUUUAAAUUUAGUUAUUUUUAUUUAUAUUUGGUUGGGGUGAUUAAAAAAUUUAAUUAACUUUUUUUUAUUUUAAACAUUAAUAUAUGAUUAUUUGAUCCAUUGAUUAUGAUUAUAAGAUUAAAUUACCUUAGGGAUAACAGCGUAAUUUUUUUUGAGAGUUCUUAUCGAAAAAAAAGUUUGCGACC
rnacentral:rRNA from 1 species